rnacentral:rRNA from 1 species
GCUGGAUUCGCUAGUAAUCGCGCAUCAGCCAUGGCGCGGUGAAUACGUUCCCGGGCCUUGUACACACCGCCCGUCAAGCCAUGGGAGCCGGGGGUGCUUGAAGUUCGUGACCGCAAGGAGCGACCUAGGGCAAAACUGGUGACUGGGGCUAAGUCGUAACAAGGUAAC